rnacentral:rRNA from 1 species
UACGAAGGGUGCAAGCGUUACUCGGAAUUACUGGGCGUAAAGCGUGCGUAGGUGGUUUGUUAAGUCUGUUGUGAAAGCCCCGGGCUCAACCUGGGAAUGGCAAUGGAUACUGGCAGGCUAGAGUGCGGUAGAGGGUAGUGGAAUUCCCGGUGUAGCGGUGAAAUGCGUAGAGAUCGGGAGGAACACCAGUGGCGAAGGCAGGUCUCUGGGCCGAUACUGACGCUGAGGAGCGAAAGCGUGGGGGAGCAAACAGG